UACGAAGGGGGCUAGCGUUGUUCGGAUUUACUGGGCGUAAAGCGCACGUAGGCGGCUCUUUAAGUCAGAGGUGAAAUCCCAAGGCUCAACCUUGGAACUGCCUUUGAUACUGGGGAUCUUGAGUCCGGGAGAGGUGAGUGGAACUGCGAGUGUAGAGGUGAAAUUCGUAGAUAUUCGCAAGAACACCAGUGGCGAAGGCGGCUCACUGGCCCGGUACUGACGCUGAGGUGGGAAAGCGUGGGGAGCAAACAGG
rnacentral:rRNA from 1 species